CUGCAUCUUUGCAGGUCUAAAGGUGUCUAAGGCUCUUUAAAAUGUUAGCUGGUAAAACUACUUUUCUACCAGAUUCUCCCCAGAAUGUGGAAGAUUAUCCAAUAAUGACUUAAAGAACCUUACAGCAGAGAUGGAUGACUGCAGACAGAUGUCUCUGAGAGCAUUCUGGAAACAGCAAGUUACCCAUCAUAACAAGAAGACCUGAACUAUGCAGAGUGCUGAGUCUACAGGGUGAACACUGUCUCAUGCUGAAAAUGAAUACGCAGAGACGUUCUUCAGUGACAGCUUCUACAGCUGGUUUGUUAAUUUAAAACUUGAAGAAAUACAUCAAGAACCAUG
rnacentral:lncRNA from 1 species